rnacentral:rRNA from 1 species
AUUGAACGCUGGCGGCAUGCCUUACACAUGCAAGUCGAACGGCAGCACGGGCUUCGAUCUGGUGGCGAGUGGCGAACGGGUGAGUAAUGUAUCGGAACGUACCUUUCAGUGGGGGAUAACGUAGCGAAAGUUACGCUAAUACCGCAUAUUCUGUGAGCAGGAAAGCAGGGGAUCGCAAGACCUUGCGCUGAUUGAGCGGCCGAUAUCAGAUUAGCUAGUUGGUGAGGUAAAGGCUCACCAAGGCGACGAUCUGUAGCGGGUCUGAGAGGAUGAUCCGCCACGCUGGGACUGAGACACGGCCCAGACUCCUACGGGAGGCAGCAGUGGGGAAUUUUGGACAAUGGGGGCAACCCUGAUCCAGCCAUGCCGCGUGAGUGAAGAAGGCCUUCGGGUUGUAAAGCUCUUUCGGACAGAAGGAAAUCGCCGCUUCUAAUAAAGGUGGUGGAUGACGGUACUGUAAGAAGAAGCACCGGCUAACUACGUGCCAGCAGCCGCCGUAACAC